rnacentral:hammerhead_ribozyme from 1 species
GUCCAGCUGACGAGUCUCAAAUAGGACGAAACGUGCGUCAAACUGGAU